rnacentral:rRNA from 1 species
UACGGGAGGCAGCAGUGGGGAAUAUUGCACAAUGGGCGCAAGCCUGAUGCAGCCAUGCCGCGUGUAUGAAAGAAGGCCUUCGGGUUGUAAAGUACUUUCAGUCGUGAGGAAGGUGUUAAGGUUAAUAACCUUAGCAAUUGACGUUAGCGACAGAAGAAGCACCGGCUAACUCCGUGCCAGCAGCCGCGGUAAUACGGAGGGUGCGAGCGUUAAUCGGAAUUACUGGGCGUAAAGGGCACGCAGGCGGUUAAUUAAGUUGGAUGUGAAAUCCCCGGGCUUAACCUGGGAAUGGCAUUCAAGACUGGUUAGCUAGAGUCUUGUAGAGGGGGUAGAAUUCCAUGUGUAGCGGUGAAAUGCGUAGAGAUGUGGAGGAAUACCGGUGGCGAAGGCGGCCCCUGGACAAAGGACUGACGCUCAUGUGCGAAAGCGUGGGGAGCAAACGAGGGAUUAGAUACC